GCACCGAUAGCUCAGUGGCAGAGCGGUGGAGCCUUGACCCAUACGGCCCGGGUUCGAGCUCCGGCCGAUGCA